AUUAAAAAAAAAAAAAUUAUUGAAGAGAAAGAAAAAGAUUUGACAGAGGAAGGCACGAGUGCAAGACUGAAUGAAUAUUUUGUGCGGAAAAGGUGGAUAUAAUAAUAUAAAGCCCAGAUUCCCUUCCACGGCUGACAGUCUGUAUGUCUCAUUCAUAGCGUGGCUCUGUUUCUGCUUCAUAGCCUCACUCUCACUAUCUCUUCUUUUUCAGCUCUCCACUCUGCCAUUGCCAAUAUGCCCAUGGCUUUCCUCCUUCAAUCUGGCUGGCUGUAUUUGAUUACACAUUUCAGUGACUUUCAGCUGGCGUGCCUAGGAAGCUUUUUUCUUCAUGAAAGUGUCUUCUUCUUAUCUGGACUUCCCUUUAUAUAUAUUGAAAGGGCAGGUUGGCUGAGCAAGUACAAGAUUCAGACCAAAAACAACAGUCCUGCUGCCCAAGAGAAAUGCAUUACUCGCCUACUUUUAUAUCAUUUUGGUGUCAAUCUACCGGUUAUGCUAUUCUCAUACCCUGUAUUCAAAUACAUGGGCAUGCGAAGUAGUCUUCCAUUGCCGUCCUGGAAAGUAGUUCUAAUGCAGAUAAUAUUCUACUUCAUCCUGGAAGAUUUUAUCUUCUACUGGGGUCAUCGGAUUCUGCAUACAAAGUGGCUGUAUAAGAAUGUGCAUAGUGUCCACCAUGAAUAUGCUACACCAUUUGGACUGACAUCUGAAUAUGCUCACCCUGCUGAGAUACUGUUCCUUGGAUUUGCUACUAUUAUUGGUCCUGCCAUCACUGGUCCCCAUCUGAUAACUUUGUGGCUAUGGAUGGUUCUGAGAGUUCUGGAGACAGUUGAAGCACACUGUGGUUACCACUUCCCAUGGAGCCUUUCCAACUUUAUACCUUUGUAUGGGGGGUGAGUUUCUUUUCUUGCUGGUAUGAUUAUCUCUGAAGGUGUAUGUUUAAUGCCCAUUUUUAUCGUUGUUUCUGACAUUUUUCCUUCAUCAAAUCUUAGUGCUGAUUUCCAUGACUAUCACCACCGCUUGCUAUAUACUAAAUCUGGAAACUACUCAUCUACUUUUGUCUAUAUGGACUGGAUUUUUGGCACCGAUAAGGGUUACAGAAAAUUGAAGGGACUGAAGAGUACUGGAGUUGAAAAUGGCGGCAAGCAAAUGUAAUGUUAGAGAAGAUUCUUUUUAUAUUAGCUUGACAUCAGAAAAUGAAUUCCAGAUAUCACAACGCUUUUGAAAGUUAUUUGUCCUUUGCCUUCUGCCUUUUUCGUGUAUGCAACCGCGCUUUUUUGUUUAGUUGAUUUUCAUGUUACAGCGUGUGGUACUGUGGAUCCGUGGAAAGCUUUCUUUGGAAAUUCUAUGUUCUCUUCCGUUCAUGAAUGAAGUUGCUGUCCCAUUAUGAGCUUUUCUAUUCUGAAAUGAUGCAUCGUAUGUGCCUCUAUCCAUGCUAUGCCGUAGACUAAUUUUAUUACUGUCUUGCAGAUGCUUUUUCCUGAAUAAUUUGAGUUAUGAAAAGGACCCAGCUAAUUGAGUCGGCUUCAUAUGUCAGUGGAAUGUUAAUAUACUUUUUGGCAGCUAGACAUCGGUUGUUGUUUUUUCAUAUUUUGUUUUAAUCUCCAUAACGGGCAGUUAAUCUCAUAAUUUGUAUGAAUAUGAGAUCGAUAAACAAGGCACCAUUAAUUUUGGACUUCCCCAAGUGUAUUUCUUUAGUCUUUGCCCAGCCCAAGGGUGUUUUUGUAAGUGGAAAAUGGAGAAAUUUUCUAGAUGGCUUGAAAUUCUUCCAUGCAUAUGGAGUUAGGUUUUUCCAACUGCAGAUUUGCUAACUGAUGUGCUAUGGCUAGUCAAACCUAAAAGUCAAAUUUGACGCAGAAUUUCCAGUAAGAAGCUUGAGAAAUUGACAUUUGAUGUUUUGUUCCUGUAAAACGACAUUUAUGCUAAAAAAAGCAUCCCUUUAAUAUCGCGGAA
rnacentral:misc_RNA from 1 species